rnacentral:rRNA from 1 species
UACGUAGGCAGCGAGCGUUGUUCGGAGUUACUGGGCGUAAAGAGUGCGUAGGCGGUUUUCUAAGUUUGGUGUGAAAUCUCCCGGCUCAACUGGGAGGGUGCGCCGAAGACUGGAAGGCUUGAGUAUGGGAGAGGUAAGCGGAAUUCCUGGUGUAGCGGUGAAAUGCGUAGAUAUCAGGGAGGAACACCUGCGGUGUAGACGGCUUACUGGACCAUAACUGACGCUGAGGCACGAAAGCGUGGGUAGCAAACAGG